UGGGGAAUAUUGGACAAUGGGCGCAAGCCUGAUCCAGCCAUGCCGCGUGAGUGAAGAAGGCCUUCGGGUUGUAAAGCUCUUUCGGCGGGGACGAAACGGUCCGGGCUAACACCACGGACUAAUGACGGUACUCGCAGAAGAAGCACCGGCUAACUACGUGCCAGCAGCCGCGGUAAUACGUAGGGUGCAGGCGUUAAUCGGAAUUACUGGGCGUAAAGCGUGCGCAGGCGGCUCCUUAAGUCAGAUGUGAAAGCCCCGGGCUUAACCUGGGAACUGCGUUUGAAACUGGGGAGCUAGAGUGUGGAAGAGGGGGGUGGAAUUCCAGGUGUAGCAGUGAAAUGCGUAGAGAUCUGGAGGAACACCGAUGGCGAAGGCAGCCCCCUGGGCUAACACUGACGCUCAUGCACGAAAGCGUGGGGAGCAAACAGGAUUAGAUACCCUGGUAGUCCACGCCCUAAACGAUGUCAACUGGUUGUUGGGAAGGUUCCUUCUCAGUAACGUAGCUAACGCGUGAAGUUGACCGCCUGGGGAGUACGGUCGCAAGGUUA
rnacentral:rRNA from 1 species